rnacentral:tRNA from 1 species
UGUAAGUCAAGAGGGGCUGUAACUCAGUGGUAGAGUGCUCGCUUUGCAUGCGAGAAGGCAAGGGUUCGAUCCCCUUCAGCUCCAUG